rnacentral:rRNA from 1 species
AGCGAACGUUAGCGGCGGGCCUAACACAUGCAAGUCGAGCGAGAAAGUGGCUUCGGCCAUCAGUAAAGCGGCGGACGGGUGAGUAACACGUAGGUAAUUUUCCCUUGAGCGGGGGACGAACGUUCCGAAAGGGACGCUAAUACCGCAUACGUUUCCAGGGACCGUUGGUUCUUGGAAGGAAAGCUAGGCCGCAAGGUCCGGCACUCGAGGAGAAGCCUGCGUAGCAUCAGCUAGUUGGUGAGGUAAUGGCNCACCAAGGCGAAGACGCUUAGCUGGUCUGAGAGGAUGAUCAGCCACACUGGGACUGAGACACGGCCCAGACUCCUACGGGAGGCAGCAGUGGGGAAUAUUGGACAAUGGGCGCAAGCCUGAUCCAGCCACGCCGCGUGAGUGAUGAAGGCC